UUGGUCAUGGCCUACUUUGUACUGUAGGCCUGUAUGCACUGCACCUGAGAAGCAGCAGCAUUACUGCUGCGUCAGGGCUGUGUCUGUUCAGUCAUCCGGGAGAGGAGAGACUAUAGCGUGUCUACCGCGUCACCCAGGAUAGAGGCUGUGCUUGGCUGCCGCGCCAGCCAGGAGAGAAUAAAUGUGUCUGCAGUUCCUACAUCUCCUCGAGUCUCCUUCCAGCCUUAGUUCGUGCCUUGCCUACCCUGGUGUCAGCGCACCAUGUGAACAGCAAGACAAUUGGCCUUGGCGUCAGGAACAGGAUCAGCAAUAAACUAAGUAUAGACCAUACUUUGAUUCCCCCUAAGAAGUGGACCCUUACAAAGAAAUUUUGACAUACAUGAUCUGCUUUUAAGAUUUAAGGGAAUGAUGACAAGAAAUCCUUUGUAUCUGAAAUGAUUUCGGUUCUUGUAAGCCGGAACUGGUCAUAUUCAUCUCCAGCUGUGGAUUAGAAACAGAACUUGGAUUUAAGAAGAUAAAAAUGACAGAUUCAUGAGAUUAGAACUCCUAAAGUGAUAUCCAAUGAGUAACAGUCUGGACCAGAAAGGGAAAAUACCCUACUGAUGCAGAAACCCAAAGAAGUAGCAUGGUUAUUACUUCCACGUUGAUGGAUGGAGAACAUGAAGAAGAUGGAGUUUGAGUGCUUGGCCCUAAAUCUCAAUAUUGUUAAGAGGUAAACAUCAGUUUUGAACCUGGAUCUUUUCUGACUCCAGAACACCUAUGCUGCACUGUGACAGGACCUCACACCAAUUGCUUCUCAACACAUCAAGCAUCAGGGACUUUUGCAAUGAGUCGUCUGUUUGCAUCAAAUGACCAGACUACCAGACCUCCGCUUCAGCAUCAGUUCUUCCAGUAAAUAUUCAGGGUUGAUCUCCCUUAAGAUUGACUGGUCUGAUCUCCUUGCUGUCCAAGGGACUUUCAGAAGUCG